GUCCACGCUGUAAACGAUGUCAACUAGAUGUAGGGGGUGUUGAUCCCUUCUGUGUCGCAGCUAACGCAUUAAGUUGACCGCCUGGGGAGUACGGUCGCAAGAUUAAAACUCAAAGGAAUUGACGGGGGCCCGCACAAGCGGUGGAGUAUGUGGUUUAAUUCGAUGCAACGCGAAGAACCUUACCUGGUCUUGACAUCCCGGAAAUCCCUUGGAACUUGGGAGUGCUUCCAUUAGGAAGAGUCCGGAGACAGGUGCUGCAUGGCUGUCGU
rnacentral:rRNA from 1 species